UAAGUUGUGACGCAUUCUAACUGCAGUGGCAAUUUGCAUACUGCUAUGCUCAAGUUUGGGACUUGCAUUCCAAUUAACUAACUUGAGUUUGUUUAUGUGUUUAUUGUAAACAGGUGCUAUUGUAUAUUGUAUAUUUAAAAAUACAUUUGAAUAGCGUGAUAUGAAGGAGGAAACAGAAAGUCAAGUGCAUUAAUGAGAAUAAUUGCUUUACUUUGUCAGUCUUGGAUAACUCCUGGAAUAUUUAUUUAGCAAUUUGCUCUAAAUCCAAGUUGUCCUAGAAUACCAGUCAGCACUUCCUGAGGGAUAAGCUCAGGGAUAAGCUAUUGCAAGACAUUUUCAUUCUAUCUCUCUGUCUGGUCAGCAGAGGUGUAGCAAGUAAAAGUGGGGGUAGUGGGGUGUGGGUGUAUCAACCAUUGUAGACUAGGCCAGGGAAGUUGGGGAAGGGGGAGCACAUGUGAGUGAGAGGAAAGGGAAGGUUUACCUUUCCAGGCUGCUGCUGCUGCUUUUGUAGCAGUGUCAACUACAUUCAGAUACCAGCAGCACUGUGUGACUAGGUUUCCUGGGAGCUGACCCUGGUGCCUUGUUUGCUCCUUUCCCAAAUACAUACAUAUUGGGUGCAGGGCUAUGCUAGCACUGACAAAGGCCCCCCGAGGGGUGGGGAGCACCAUUUGGCUUGCUCCACUUGCCCCCUCCCCACACAUAGUGUGUGGUGUAGGGCUGCCCUGUCCAGCUUUAAUGGCUGGCAUGGUGCUGCCCCUGCUGUGGCAAAGAUUCAAUUCUAGCACCUUCUCCUAGUCAGCACCUGUGGUUGGUGCCCUGCUUGCCCCACUGUAAUAAUGAUGCUUCUAGUCAGUUAAGUGUGAUGAAGGAUUUAUGUCACUUGGAUUUUGACAGUGGUUUCCUGAGAUCUGGAUUUUAUUGAUAGACUACUUAAGUGCAUUUUAGCUUGAAAUGCAAAUAUACUCAAUUAGCAGAUGACUGUCUUUAAAAAGAGAUUAAAGUUGAGGAAGCAUUUUCUUAAUGCUUUGAGGGGAAAAACUAGUGAGAGAGUACAAAGUGUCUGUUUUUCUGGUACUGUUGCUGUCCAUUCCUUCUUACACAUAGGAAUCACCCCGUUUGUCCAAUGUAAACAGCAGAGGUGAUUGAUGACAUAUAUGACACUGGUUUGAGGUGCCAUUUGAUUUAAAAAAGUGAAGAAGCUAAUCCAGUUUUUAAAUUUAGAGUAUAAUAUUAAGAAAAAAAGUGUACACACACACACAUGUUUAACUGUUUUCUGAUCAUUGCAUAUCUUUUUAUGUACUAGAAAGAUGACAUGCAACUGUGAUAAAAAAAUCAGGAUAUUAUAAUAAAUCAGUUAUUAUGUGCACAUAUAUUAUGUUAUUUAACCUCCUUUUUGAAAAGGGAUUAAUCCCUUAGGAAAGCGGAAUUUGGGGAAAACAUAAAAAACCUUUUUUUCCUAAAUAAACUAAAACUUUAAUUUAAAAAUAUCCCUGAAAUAAGAUUUUUUUAAUAUUAAUUAAACAGAAUUGUUAGUUAAUUCGUAGACAGUAGGCUGAUUCAGAACUUGAAUCAGACAACAGUAAGUUUUCAUGUUUAAGAAGUUUGCUUAAUGUUUGUAUUGUAAACCUACUUAUAGAAUAAAAUUUGUAUGUAGUGGACCGGGUGUUAAAAUAGCAUAUACAUAGAGGCAAAUUUAUUAAUUAAUUUCUGUGUUCAACAGUCUGUGGGGAAAAAAAGAGAAAGAAGAUCCUGUUACAUUAGGUACAUCAAAAACAACAUGUCCAAGCCAAACAUUAGAAUAAGGAGUGGGAGGGGUGGAAAGCAAAAAACACUUAUAUUGCAUUUCCAAGAUCAGUACAUGAGGUCAGAUGUGUUUAUUAAUUCAGGAAUAAAGGUUACUGGAAUUCGGGGGCAAGGGGUUCUGCUAAGUGUAGGCAUGGAGUCCUCAGAGUCUUCACAAAAGGAACAAUCAUUUAUAGCACCUGGUGUUCAGUUGUAUUGGGCCAUAUCCACCCUCUGGAGACUUCAGUUGACUUUCAGAUGAUUUUGGUGUCAAAUGGCUCUUUAGCCUACAAAGACUUUUCACUAACUUCUCUGGGAGUGUUAUAAAACAAUCAUCUCUUCUUCCUCUUCUUCUGUCUUUUCCCCACUCCUGAAAAUUGAAAGAAUUGGAUUUUACAGAGUUUACCCCUCCAUCACCUUUUUUGAACUUUUAGGUAACUGCAGCAUCUAUGUGCACAUAAUAUAGAUUCAAUUUUUUUUUAUUAGACUGAUCUUUAUAUGCUCAUGAAAACUUGAUGAAAACAUCAGAUUCCUUUUUACACCUACUAUAACACUGGAAAGCUACAGGGAAAAGAUCUUGGUGGAUCUCUUGCUAGUUGCUAAAAAAAACAAAACUGAAGGGCACUGAACAAAUAGUAGGUUGUGAAGUAUUGAGCCAUUGCAGGGAAUUGCCUAUUUAGAUUCUGAAAACUUUUGGUAGUUGAGCAGGAUGUCUGUGCAAAGCUGGCUUGAUCAUGUUUUUUUUCUUUCUUGUUACUUUUUGUCUCAGAGUGGUUUCUCAUUCUAGGUGCUGUAAAUUCAAUUUUCCUAAAGUAAGAUGGCUAUUUAGGAGUCUAAGUAUCACUGAAAGUCUAUGAAGGCUUGAAAAUCAUACCUAUUUUCAAUACCAUCAUCAUAAUUAAAAUGUUGCUGUGAUGAUAGUUUAUGCUCUUUACCAUCAAGAGUAGUCGUCUUUUACACUCAAAAAUCACUCACUUGUGAUUUUUGUUCUAAAAAACUGAAAGCAAUGAGCUGAACUUGAAUUAAAAAGUGGCAACCUAGUUCAGUGUAGAGCAGUGGUUUUUAACUUGUGGUCUGCAGACCUGUAAGGGUCCACAGGCUAUGUUUAAGAGGUCUGGAAAAGAUGACUCUGAUCAAUCAAAAGUAUGUGAAUACCCACACUUACAAUUCAUGGGGGUCCACACCUCCAUCUGAAAUUUUGUAAGGGUCUGCAAAUGAAAAAAGUUGAAAGCCACUGUUAUAGAGCAAAGUUAUCUUUUUUUAAAAAGAUGGUUGUAGCACUUAAUAUACUCUUCAAAAUAAAUGUUGAGUACCUCAGUUGACUAAAGGUGAAAUGGGGGGAAUAAAGAGAGAGAGAGAGAGAAUUGUCUUGAUCCAAGAUGACUUUAAAUUUAAGAUGACUCCCCAAUAAUUAGAUUCUAUACAUGAAAAAUAUAGUGCCAUAGCAAGGUGGGUUGAGCGGGGUGACUGCCCCGGGCACCGAAGUGAAGCCAACAGGCAGGCAGCUGGGGCAGGGCACAGGAAGGAGCUAUGAACGACUCAUGCCAGGAUGAGGGAAGGGUGGCUCCCGCCACUGUGUGCGCCUCUGGGCAAGCAUGGGCAGGGUGUGCUGCCCAGAUAUGUGCAUGGGGUGAGGGCAGGCUGCUGCUGUGGCCUUUGCCCCAGACACCAAACUUUGUUGCUAUGGUACUGGAAAAAUAUAUAAUAUAUAAUUUUGUUAUAAUUUUACCAUGUGUAGAAUCUAAUUAUUGGAAGAUAAUCUUAAAAUCAUUCCCCUGUACUUCUGUAGCCAGAAAAACAGUGGCAGGGAGGCAGGUGGAGAGACAGGCAGCGUGACCCUUGUCUCCUUGCCUCCUGUUGCCUGUUUCCACAACUUGCCCUCUUGUGGAGCACCUCUCCCAUGGUGCCCGUGCCCCUUGCCAUCUGUAUCUCCCAGUACUUAGUCUUCCCCCCUGUUCCCCAUCCCCCACUGCCUUCUCCCUGCCCCAUGAUGUACAACAUGAUGCCUGCACCCCCUGGAGCCUGCCCCUUGCCACUCCUACCCCGACAUUUGUCUGCUCUGCAACUUCCUGUCCCCCCAUGGUUCCUUCACCCCUUCCCGCACUUGGUCUCCUCUGCUGUCUUUUUUUUCAGUUGGUGCUCCAGUCCCACUUGGUCAGUGAAAAGAAGAUGGCUGUGGCAACUUUAGAUCAGCCCUGGGAAGGGUCUAAGUCCAUCAGAGUUGGGGUUGAGGCUGCCACCAUUGCUGCUGGUUCAGAUUGAGGCUGGAGCUGCAACUGAAGGCAACAAAAUAUAUAGAAGAAAAAAUCUGAGAACUUGUCACAUGCAUCAUCAUAAAUUUCUGGACUGACAUUCUUCUUCCACUUGUCACUGAAGUAAAUGAGAAACGCCUAUCCCAUCAGGAUACUCUGCUCCCUAUUUUAAACAUCAUUACAGGGAGAAUUGUAAUAUGUAACAUAGACUUAAAUUAUGUUUAGGAAGUUAAGAAAUUAUUUUGAUCAGAUAAUUGACUUAAAUAUUGAUGUCUCACUUCCCCAUGGCAUUCUGUUGAUCUCCUAGGGACAGUUCAGUCUGGACACUUGAAUCCGGGUACUAGAGAUAUAGUAAGAUUUACAUUUCUCACAAGGCAAACCAUGAUAAAAAAACAGCAGAUAUUUCAUGCAACAAUAGACUGAAAUGGGGCCACAGUGUUAACAAUUUAGGUUUGGGAACAAUUUGACAGACUAUAACUUAUGAUAUUACUUUUUCAGGAGAAAUUUGGAUGGGUCUGAUUUAUAACAAAGUACUGGAAUCAUAAACACACUAUGCAGAGAAAUAGUUCGGUGAGACUGUGGAACUUUUAAUUUCUUAGGUAGUAUGGAUAAUCCCUUAUGCAAAGGUCUUCGGUUGAGCCCAGAACAAGAAUAAGAAGCUGAAAUAUAGCUAAGGAAACAGAAUUUUAAUCCUUUCUUCUCUUCUACUAUUUAAAAGUUGUUCAUAUUUUAACAUCAAAACUGCAUUUGUGAAAAUGACUGUACAACAAUAUAAUGGAAAUUUGUGGAAGCAAAUGCACAAAGACUGGACAAUCAAAUUUGGUGUUUGUCAAUUUUUAAAUGAUCAGCACUUAUUCCCAAGCAAAUACCAUAUUUUCUCACACAAAAACACAUGACUACUGCAAAACGUAGCUGCUGGAAAUUACAGUGUGUAUUAAUUACAUGUGAGGCAAAGCUGUAAGAGCAUUUUCUGCUUUACUGGGGAAAAAUGAAAGUAAAAUCUUCAUGCAUCUCAGAGGGAACAGAAGAGUGAGCAGGCAUGGCUUCUAAGUUACUGCUACUCAGUUUCUUACUACAGUGAAAGAACUUUGUUUUUUUUAUUGUUCCUUUUAAAAAUAGGCUGUGUAUUUUAUUCUGACGAGUGUUAUAUAUGAGAAAGUAUGGUAAGUGACAGUCAUAUUUUUAGUGCAUUUAGUUAGGGUUAGUUGAGACUUUAUGAUAUGCUGUAUGCUGAAAAAGUUGAUCAUUGCCUGAGAGGAAAGAAUAAUAAAUCAGACUAAUGAAUUCCAAGAGAAGUAAAUUAUUGUAUUCAGAUAUGUGUAUCUAUGUAUACUGAUUUGGAUGAUUUUCAUAUAAAUUGAUGCAUUUUCCCAAUA